UAAGGAAUAUUGGACAAUGGCCGCAAGGCUGAUCCAGCCAUGCCGCGUGCAGGAAGACGGACCUAUGGUUUGUAAACUGCUUUUGAACGGGAGAAAACCCUUGCUCGUGAGCGAGGCUGAUAGUACCGUUAGAAUAAGCAUCGGCUAACUUCGUGCCAGCAGCCGCGGUAAGACGAAGGAUGCAAGCGUUAUCCGGAUUCAUUGGGUUUAAAGGGAGCGUAGGCGGACUUAUAAGUCAGUGGUGAAAUCUCCGAGCUUAACUCGGAAACUGCCAUUGAUACUGUAGGUCUAGAGUACAGUUGCCGUUGGCGGAAUAUGACAUGUAGUGGUGAAAUACUUAGAUAUGUCAUAGAACACCGAUUGCGAAGGCAGCUAACGAAGCUGUAACUGACGCUGAGGCUCGAAAGUGCGGGGAUCAAACA
rnacentral:rRNA from 1 species